AGAUUGAACGCUGGCGGCAUGCCUUACACAUGCAAGUCGAACGGCAGCACGGGAGCAAUCCUGGUGGCGAGUGGCGAACGGGUGAGUAAUAUAUCGGAACGUGCCCAGUCGUGGGGGAUAACGUAGAGAAAUUUACGCUAAUACCGCAUACGAUCUAUGGAUGAAAGCGGGGGACCGAAAGGCCUCGCGCGAUUGGAGCGGCCGAUGUCAGAUUAGCUAGUUGGUGGGUAAAGGCCCACCAAGGCGACGAUCUGUAGCUGGUCUGAGAGGACGACCAGCCACACUGGAACUGAGACACGGUCCAGACUCCUACGGGAGGCAGCAGUGGGAAUUUGGACAAUGGGCGCGAAGCCUGAUCCAGCAAGUGCCGCGUGCAGGGAAGAAGGCCUUCGGUUGUAAACGUGUCGUUUUGACCGGUAACGUAACGGUACGUGGGUUAACUACCGUACGGCUAA
rnacentral:rRNA from 1 species